CCCUUAGAUGUUCUGGGCAGCACGCGCGCUACAAUGGUCUUCGCAAACGGAUGCAUUCUCGAAGGAGAAUGCCAAUCUUGGAAUCUAUGCCUUGGUCGGGACAGUUGCUUGCAAUUUUUCGACUCGAACCAGGAAUUCCUUGUAAUCGUUAUUCAUCACAUCACGAUGAAUACGUCCCUGCCCUUUGUACACACCGCCCGUCGCUCCUACCGAUCGAAGAGUUAGGUGAAUUGUUUUGAUCGAUAAGAUUUGACUAUGGUCAACUCUCGUUGUGAAAUUCUGUGAAUCUGACUGUUUAGAGGAAGGAAAAGUCGUAACA
rnacentral:rRNA from 1 species